CCCCUACGGGAGGCAGCAGUGGGGAAUAUUGCACAAUGGGCGCAAGCCUGAUGCAGCGACGCCGCGUGAGGGAUGACGGCCUGGUUGUAACCUCUGUUAGCAGGGAAGAAGAGAGAUUGACGGUACCUGCAGAGAAAGCGCCGGCUAACUACGUGCCAGCAGCCGCGGUAAUGGGG
rnacentral:rRNA from 1 species